GCACUGCUGAUGAGUCCCAUAAUAGGACGAAACGACCAUCCAGUAC
rnacentral:hammerhead_ribozyme from 1 species